rnacentral:lncRNA from 1 species
UUCGAGUUCCAGAUCCGGUGAUUCCCCACCAACCAAUCUACUACCUCAGGUACUCCCCCUGGUAGGUUGCUGGGAUAAAACUUUGACACGCUAGCACAGAUGCCUUCGCCAUAAGGCGUGGGGGGCACUAAAAAUUUCCAACUCCCGGCGCAAAAACUUGAAACACACUAUCAGCUUGCAAAAUUUUCGCACUAGAACGCCACCAGUCCUCCCCAAGUGCAGCCACACCUACCUGAGCACCGAUGCGACGCCUCCUUCUCGAGCCCCGCCACUCCUUCCCGAGCGCCUCCGCGGCCCCUCCGCCCGCUCCUCCCCCGAGCACCGCCUCCUCCCCAAGUGUCACCACGCCUUCCUCUCCGAGCGUCACCACGCCUUCCUCUCCGAGCGCCGCCGUGCCUCCUCA